CCCAGACUCCUACGGGAGGCAGCAGUGGGGGAUAUUGCACAAUGGGGGGAACCCUGAUGCAGCGACGCCGCGUGGGUGAAGGAGCGUUUCGGCGCGUAAAGCCCUCUCGGCAGGGAAGAAGGAGGACGGUACCUGACUAAGAAGCCCCGGCUAACUACGUGCCAGCAGCCGCGGUAAUACGUAGGGGGCAAGCGUUAUCCGGAUUUACUGGGUGUAAAGGGGGCGCAGACGGCGAUGCAAGCCAGGAGUGAAAGCCCGGGGCCCAACCCCGGGACUGCUCUUGGAACUGCGUGGCUGGAGUGCAGGAGGGGCAGGCGGAAUUCCUGGUGUAGCGGUGAAAUGCGUAGAUAUUAGGAGGAACACCAGUGGCGAAGGCGGCCUGCUGGGCUUUAACUGACGCUGAGGCUCGAAAGCGUGGGGAGCAAACAGGAUUAGAUACCCUGGUAAAA
rnacentral:rRNA from 1 species